AGAAUGUACAAACUCAUUACAGACAGCAUCCGCGAUCAGGAUCGAACCCGGGUCUCUGGCGCCAUAAGGCAGCAACUCUACCGCUUAUCUUCAUUUUGAUUCAGGAUUCUUGGAUUGUUCUGAGACUUCCAGCCUUCCAUUGCUUGGUCUCUCAGGACUCUUGCUUCUAUGAAUCAGAAGAACUUCUGCACUUCCUAUGUGAUCUGGAGAGAAGAAAUAUAAGUAUAUUAAGAGCAAAAGGGCAAGCAGGGAGAAAAUAGGUCCCUUUAAGGAAAUUGGCAAGAACUUGUCUCAUCUGUCGUUACCAAUGAGAAAGAUUUGGAAGCCAAGGAAGCCAAUUCCACCUCAACGCAGCGAAUGAACAAGACAUUGCGCAGGAGGGGCGAGGGAAUAUGUUGAUAAAUUAAACAAUCAUCAGAUGGGAAAUAAUUUAUUAUUCAUGAGCAAAUGAGAGUUUCGUUACGUUAAUAAAAUGAAAUGCAGCAAAAACAUUAUGUGUUGGCUUUGGGAGUAUUGUUUCACAGAUUUUUGGCCGCCAUUUUAACUCUGGAUCCAGCUGACAAUGUUCAUCGAUAAACUAUUAACAACAAAACAUUUCUGAAGAAUGAACAUGAUAUUAAGAAUCAGAUUUAAGAAUAAGGGGUAGGCCAUUUAGAUGAGGAAAAAUGCCUUUAUCCAGAGAGUUGUGAAUCUGUGGAAUUCUCUGCCACAGAAGGCAGUGGAGGCCAAUUCACUAGAUGUUUUCAAGAGAGCAUUAGAUUCAGCUCUUAGGACUAAAGGAAUCAAGGGUUUGGGGGAAAAAGCAGGAUGGGGUACUGAUUUUAGAUCAGCCAUGAUCAUAUUGAAUGGUGGUGCUGGCUCAAAGGGCUGAAUGGCCUACUCCCACAACAAUUUUCUAUGUUUCUAUCAGGGUCAUUUUGAACAUGUGCAGUUUUCACCGAUGACACCGAAUGUCAUACCUAUUUAUCAGCAUUAACAUGAGCAAACAAUGUCUAUUUACUUAAAGGCUCAUGAGAAACAAGAGCUGAUAUGAUUAACUGACCAGGACUGGAAUGGGCAGUGGGCCCAGAUGAGAUGGAUCAUUAGACGUGUUGAGAACGAAGGAACUGCAGAUGCUAGUUUAAGGCGAAGGUAGACACAAAGUGCUGGAGUAACUCAGCGAGACUGGCAGCAUCUCUGGAGAGAAGGAAUGCGUGACGCUUCGGGUCGAGACCCUUCUUAAGACUGUUUCUGUGCUGUAUUCCAUGUUCUAUGUAACAUUCUUCAUGCAAUAGAGCAAUGUAUCAGCAGGAGGUUGUGAUUUUGUAAUGAAAAUGUCGCCCUACUGCAGGCCACCUGUGAUGAGCGAGUUUGAUAUGUGAAUCACUCUGAGACACUCAGAUUGCUGGAUCACUUUGCUGACAUCUGCGAUUUCAGAAGGAAUAAGAUCCUGGAAUGGAUGCUGGAAUAGAUGAUUUGGAAACAGGACCUUCGGCCCACCGAGUCCAGGCCGACUAGUGAUCGAUCACCCAGUACACUAGCACCAUUCUACACACUAGGGACUAUCUAGAAUUUUACAUAAGCCAAUUAACCUGGACAGGUUUGGAGGGAUAUGGGCCAAAUGCAGGAAGGUGGGACUAGUGUAGCUGGGACAUGUUGGCCGGUUUGGGCAGGUUGGGCCCGUUUUCACACUGUAUGACUAUGAAUAACCUCCCCGUAUAUUACAACAUGGUAAAAUGGCAAGUAAAUUGAACAGAUUUGAUAAAUCUCGUCUUGCACUUGAAAAAUGUUAUGUUUUCUCCCCCUCAUCCAGUUUGGUCUUGUAAAUAAAUCUACCCAUUAUAAAGACCUCAUAUUAUGCAGGGCACAGUUUGACCUGCAGUCAGUCCAUAUACCACACUACUAUGAGAUCAGAAAGUUGACAAUUGGAUCCUGCGUAAAGAAAUUCUGCAGUUUUACUUAUUAAAUUGUUGAAUGCUCAUUUUAGUUUAGUUUAGAGAUACAGCACGGAAACAGGCCCUUCAGCCCACCGAGACCGCACCGACCAGCGAUCCGCACACAUUAACACUAUCCUACACAUACUAGGGCCAAUUUACACUUAUACCAAGCCAAUCAAUCUGCAAACCUGUGCAUCUUUGGAGUGUGGGAGGAAGCCAAAAGAUCUCGGAGAAAAUCCACAUAGGUCGCGGGGAGAACGUACAAACUCGUACAGACAGCACCUGUAGUCGGGAUCGAACCCGGGUCUCUGGCGGUGCAAGCGCUGUACAGCAGCAACUCUACCGCUGAGCCACGUCAAGUCUGAGAAG